CAAAUUAUAAUCAUGUAGCAAUUGAUGAUAUUAAUUCCACGCUACUAAUUUAGCAUAGUGAAUAUGUCACGUAAUUAUGUGUAAAUGCUUCUGGCAAUUAAUUACACAUUAAAUAUGGUGAAUAUAUUAACAACAACCAAUAUGAAAAAAUAUUUGGAGAGUCUUAUAGACAUACAUAAUGACUAGGUACGAAAAACCAGUGUCAUUAGAUUAUUUUCCUUUUGUUUGAUUCUGUUGGACCAAAGGAAUUGACUGUAAUUAAAGUGAAAUAAAUAAACCUAGCCUCUACAUACUUUACAAGCCUACGAGGUACAAUCUGAGAGGUAUGCUGGGCUUUUAGGUCCCGUAGAGGGAGAGUAGGCCUAUUAGGCUAAGAAUGGUCUAUCAAGAAAUGCAAUGUUAUUAAUCAACCCUUUCGGUAACUCUAAUUGUAUACGACCAUGUAAGCCAUGAUGAGGUGGUGGAGCGAGGCUCACUUAAGUACACAUCAUCAAAAGUACUUGCCUAAACAUCGCAUCCAACUGGGUGAGCCUAGUUUGAGAAGAGUUAUAAUCAUUGUCAUGGACUUCAAGGCGACACAUGACGAGCUUAUGUUUUAGCCUUGCAGCUUACGUCGAGCUUCUGGCUCAAUUUCAUAUAUAUUCAUGUUUGAUUUAAGCUUCUGACUAAACAUCAUUAAUAUUCACCAAUGUAACAUAAACCAGUGCAAUAUAUGUUAUUAAAUCAUAACAGACAAACUUAAUGUGAAAGUAAUUAUAUGAAACCGAAAUAAAUUAAAUUAUAACGGAAACAAUUUAAUUCUCAUUGACAUAAUGUAUAUGCAAUAAAAUUGGUAUUUACUAAACCAAUAAAUGUCAAUAACGUAGCGGUUACUUGCAAAACUAACUUAUUUGCAUCACCAAUUGCUUCUGGCAUUAAUGUGUCAUUACAUACUCAUAAUAAUUAUCGAUAUAAACGAUAACAUAAUUGAGAACUAAUUGAAUAAAACUGAUGCGAUUUGAAUUUG
rnacentral:lncRNA from 1 species